rnacentral:rRNA from 1 species
GACGAACGCUGGCGGCGUGCUUAACACAUGCAAGUCGAGCGGAAAGGCCACUUCGGUGGUACUCGAGCGGCGAACGGGUGAGUAACACGUGAGUAAUCUGCCCCUGGCUUUGGGAUAGCCACCGGAAACGGUGAUUAAUACCGGAUAUGACACAUUCUCGCAUGAGUUUGUGUGGAAAGUUUUUCGGCCAGGGAUGUGCUCGCGGCCUAUCAGCUUGAUGGUGAGGUAAUGGCUCACCAUGGCUUCGACGGGUAGCCGGCCUGAGAGGGUGACCGGUCACACUGGGACUGAGACACGGCCCAGACUCCUACGGGAGGCAGCAGUGGGGAAUAUUGGACAAUGGGCGGAAGCCUGAUCCAGCAACGCCGCGUGAGGGAUGACGGCCUUCGGGUUGUAAACCUCUUUCAGUACCGACGAAGCGCAAGUGACGGUAGGUACAGAAGAAGCACCGGCCAACUACGUG